GAUGAAGAGUCUGGAAUGCCACAGAUUCAAUUAUUGUGGCUCAUAAAUAGCUGGAGUGGUGCUCAUUUCCCUAAUGCUUACCGACAUUAACUGAUGAAUCUACACAAACACUCUUUUAUCAUGACACUUUAUAGAUGACAGACUGAGUGUGGAAAGGUUAUAAGAUUGUUCGGUGUUUGUGAUACGCAGGGACAGCACUGACGUCACAUUUCAGCUGACAGCUAUCAGUGAGCUCAUUACCAGAGAGCAGAGUCAUUCAUAGAUUAUGUACCAGGCUCCUAUAUAGUAUACUAUGAGAUUUUAUUCAGUGUGUUUUUUAACCUUGCAAAUAAUUAUUUAGGUACUUUUAUUCACAGGCAACUAAUUUCUUUUCCUUUCCUUCCUGCUUGUAGCCAUCUCCCCCAACUGCCUCCCCAGUAGUAUCUCUCUAGGUCACUCAGGCUAUCUCAGAACUUGCCAUGUAGCCUAAACUGGCCUCAAGUUUGUAAUCUUGCUUUCACCUCCCUAGUCCUGGAAAUACUGACAAUCAUUUUAUAGCCAGAAUUUUUAUUCAUUUGAAAUGUCAGGUUUCACUCUUGCCACGUAGGCCUGAUGACCUCAGUUUGAUCCCUAUGUUUCUUGGUGAAAGGAGAGAACUAACUCCUGAAAGUCAUCCUCUGAACUCUAUACAUAGGCUGGUACACACGCACGCGUGCGCACACACACACACAUACACGCACAUACACACACACACACAUACACACACACACACAUACACACACAUACACACACACACACACACACACACACACACACACACGGCAAGUUGACUGAAAAUUUUUUGUUAUUUUUCUGGUUUUUUGUUUUGAUUUUUGAGGCAGGGUCUCAUGUAUCCAAGGCUGACCUCAGACUCACUGUGCAGCCAAUGAUGAUUUUGAACUUCUGAUCCUUCUGCCUUUAAUUUCCAGAGUGCUCAGAGCACAAGCAUGCACCACCAUACUUGCUUUGUACACUUCUGGAGAUCAAAUCUAGGGCUUUGUGCAUGCUAGGCAAGCACUUUACUACUAAGUCACAACCCUACCCGUGGACUAGCUGAGGCCCUGCUUCUCUAUCUUUGUUUAAAGGUUUUGGGUCCAUUUUGUUCACUCAGGGAGUAUUUUCAACCUCUACCUCUUUCUGCCUAUUAGUACUCCAAUAUCUAAGGAAAUUUGAAGAGGUCCUUUCUAACUUAAAGUCUUGGGAUUUAGCUCAGUGGCAGGAUGCUUGUCUAGUAUUCACAAAGUUCUGGUUCACUUCCAAGUACUGCCCAUUCAAGCAUACGGAGUAACAGUAAUCUGAAGAUUUAGCAUAGAGGGUGGUGGUAUUUGUAGAGCAAACAUUGAAAUCCUCAUUAUUUAACUUUCUUCAAAGGAAGUGAUAUGGGAUCUUGAUAAAGAAGUGGAAAUACUCAUGUAAAGAGGAAGAGUAGAUGAUAAAGCCAAUUACUGAGAACCUGUCUGUAAUCUUGGAGUAAUAAUAGUGUGAACUUUGGCUAGAUGCACUCAUUCAUUCAGCAAUCAUUGAUUGACUAUUAUGUGUAAGACUACUGGGUAAAGAGCUAUGUAGUUUGGACAUAAAAUACAGAAUCUGUGCUUAGAGAAUGUAUAAUCAAUUGACAAGUUAGUUUUAUGGAUGGAUAUGAAAGGAAAAAAGAAAAAAAUAAAUGUCAUAUACAGGAAGAAAAGAAACUUAGAUAAAUGAAAUUAUUUUUACUAGAUUUGCUAGAGGACUGACUGCCUUAGAUCUUAUGGGGCCUUUCUAAAAGCAAACGGAGUCCCCUGCCCUUUUUCAGUUCCAUUCAGAUAAUGGUUAGAAGUAGCUACUUUCUCUCUCUGCUGUUGUUGGAGAGACUGAGUCCUAGAGCAGGUGAAUGUGCAUAGAAGAGAUCACAGGAAAAUACUAGCCCUACCUGCAGGAGUUUUGCCUUGGCUCUUGAUAAGAAUGUCAGGGGUAUGUGAGUAGCAAACUCAAAGCCCUGUUCAAUCCCUAGUACUGGGCGUGAGGACUGGGGGUAAGAAUGCCAAGUCCAUAGUGACUGGCUGGCUGGAAUACUGCUAUGGCUGCAGGCACCUCUGAGAAUACUGAGGGUCCUGAGGAUUCUCUUUUUAGUCUUACCACCUUACCUGCUGCCAUGAAGCCUAAAAGGAGAAAAGGUUCCAGAGAAGCUUUAAUUCCAAUUACUGGACUCAGAGGGGCUCAGCUAUGAACAACAUUUAUGUAACCAUUGUAUGACUAUUUCUUCUUCAGGCAGGUGGUCAGGGAAAUACUUAUUCAGUUGGUUUAUUUCCCAAGAAAAGAUCUCUUCAUUUCUUUCACUUCCUUGCUCUUCUGACCUCAUUCCUACACAGUUACACAGGAAAGGAGACACAGUAAAUGAUUGUGAUUUUAUUGUCUGCUUUAUUCUUUUGUUUGAUUUGUUAUAUUCUUAUAGAGAAUGCAUUUUACCUCUAUGAAAUAAAAAAGAACUCUUAUAUUUGUAUAGCCCCAUGAGAGAAAGAGAUGUUGGCCUUUUAUAUUACU
rnacentral:lncRNA from 1 species